rnacentral:tRNA from 1 species
UGCGACGUAGUUCAAAAGGAAGAACACUUUGCUUUCUACCCAACCGCCUCGAUGCGGUCGGGGGCGGAGAGGUUGUGGGUUCGAGUCCCGCCGUCGCAC